AUUGAACGCUGGCGGCAGGCUUAACACAUGCAAGUCGAGCGAGAGGCGGACGGGUGAGUAAUGUCUGGGAAACUGGCUGAUGGAGGGGGAUAACUACUGGAAACGGUAGAUAAUACCGCAUACAAUCAGAUGUGGUCAGGUGGGAUUAGCUAGUAGGUGGGGUAUUGGCUCAACUAGGCGACGAUCCCUAGCUGGUCUGAGAGGAUGACCGGCCAAACUGGAACUGAGACACGGUCCAGACUCCUACGGGAGGCAGCAGUAGGGAAUAUUCGGCAAUGGACGCAAGCCUGAUCCAGCCACGCCGCGUGAGUGAAGAAGGCCUUCGGAUUGUAAAGCUCUUUCGUCGAUGAGGCGGUAUUCGACGAGGAAGCACCGGCUAACUCCGUGCCAGCAGCCGCGGUAAUAC
rnacentral:rRNA from 1 species